CCUACGGGAGGCUGCAGUGGGGUAUAUUGCACAAUGGGGGAAACCCUGAUGCAGCGACGCCGCGUGAGUGAAGAAGUAUUUCGGUAUGUAAAGCUCUAUCAGCAGGGAAGUAGAAAGACGGUACCUGACUAAGAAGCCCCGGCUAACUACGUGCCAGCAGCCGCGGUACUACGUAGGGGGCAAGCGUUAUCCGGAUUUACUGGGUGGAAAGGGAGCGUAGACGGCUGUGCAAGUCUGAAGUGAAAGCCCAGGGCGCAACCCUGGGACUGCUUUGGAAACUGUGGAGCUAGAGUGCUGGAGAGGUAAGUGGAAUUCCUAGUGUAGCGGUGAAAUGCGUAGAUAUUAGGAGGAACACCAGUGGUGAAGGCGGCUUACUGGACAGUAACUGACGUUGAGGCUCGAAAGCGUGGGGAGCAAACAGGAUUAGAUACCCCUGUAGUC
rnacentral:rRNA from 1 species